rnacentral:rRNA from 1 species
GACGAACGCUGGCGGCGUGCUUAACACAUGCAAGUCGAACGGGAUUUAGUAGACGGAAACCUCGGUGGAAGAUUACUAAUGAGAGUGGCGAACGGGUGAGUAACGCGUGAGCAACCUGCCUAUGACAGUGGGAUAGCCUCGGGAAACCGGGAUUAAUACCGCAUAAAAUCGUAGAAACACAUGUUUCAACGGUCAAAGAUUUAUCGGUCGUAGAUGGGCUCGCGUCUGAUUAGCUAGUUGGUGAGAUAACAGCCCACCAAGGCGACGGUCAGUAGCCGGUCUGAGAGGAUGAACGGCCACAUUGGAACUGAGACACGGUCCAAACUCCUACGGGAGGCAGCAGUGGGGAAUAUUGCACAAUGGGGGAAACCCUGAUGCAGCGACGCCGCGUGAACGAAGAAGGUAUUCGUAUCGUAAAGUUCUGUCCUAUGGGAAGAUAAUGACAGUACCAUAGAAGAAAGCUCCGGCUAAAUACGUGCCAGCAGCCGCGGUAAUACGUAUGGAGCGAGUGUUGUCCGGAAUUAUUGGGCGUAAAGGGUACGCAGGCGGUUUAAUAAGUCGAAUGUUAAAGAUCGGGGCUCAACCCCGUAAAGCAUUGGAAACUGAUAAACUUGAGUAGUGGAGAGGAAAGUGGAAUUCCUAGUGUAGUGGUGAAAUACGUAGAUAUUAGGAGGAAUACCAGUAGCGAAGGCGACUUUCUGGACACAAACUGACGCUGAGGUACGAAAGCGUGGGGAGCAAACAGG